rnacentral:rRNA from 1 species
ACAAAUGAAACCCCCCUGAACGCGCCCGAUCUCGUCUGAUCUCGGAAGCUAAGCAGGGUCGGGCCUGGUUAGUACUUGGAUGGGAGACCGCCUGGGAAUACCAAGUGCUGUAAGCU